GAUGAACGCUGGCGGCGUGCCUAAUACAUGCAAGUCGAGCGAACGGACGAGACUCUUGCUUCUCUGAUGUUAGCGGCGGACGGGUGUGUAACACGUGUAUCACCUACCUAUCAGACUGGGAUCACUUCGGGAAACCGGCGCUUAUACCGGAUAAUAUUUUGCACCGCAUGGUUCAAAAGUGAAAUACGGUCUUGCUGUCACUUAUAGAUGCAUCCGCGCUGCAUUAGCUAGUUGGUAAGGUAACGGCUUAUCAAGGCAACGAUGCAUAGCCGACCUGAGAGACGGAUAGGCCACAUGAGAGCUGGGACGGGGACAAGACGCCUACGGGAGGCAGCAGUAGGGAAUGGGCCGCAAUGGGGGAGAGCAUGACGGAGCAACGCCGCGUGAGAGAUGAAGGUGUUCGGAGCGGAAAAAUCUGUUACUAGGGAAGAACAUAUGUGUAAGUAACUGAGCACAGAGUGACGGUACCUAAUCAGAAAGCAACGGCUAACUACGUG
rnacentral:rRNA from 1 species